UCUGCUCCGUAGGCUGAUCUGACUGGGGGCUCUCAGUUCCCUUCCUCUCCAGCUUUCCCAGGCGACUGGCAGCCCUGGUAAACAGCCCACGCAAGGAGGAGGUUUGAGACGCAAUGGCCUAGAUGGAGAAAGGAGAUGAUUGGUCCCUGUCCUGCCAAGCUACAUCAUUGGCUGUCUGUCUGAAGCAGCUCCUGUGAUUGGCUGACCAAGCAGUCCCACAAAGGAUGGUUCCUAGGACUGGGUUUUGCUUCUCUAAGAAACCAGGCAUCUUCCUCUAUGAUUGAGAUUUAUCAAAUAACAGUCUUGUUCCAAUUUACCUUGAUGCUAGAGAGACUAAGAGACUACAGAUCAUUUUGUGGAGCUGCAGUCUAUUUUCACACCUGCCUUGACAUUGCUCUUACUCCCUCUUCAUGUAAGAUCGGCUUCCACUCCUUUUCCUGUGGGUAAGAUUCUUGCUGCCUUUCUUCUGUCACAAUGGCCAAGCCCUUUCAUUUCCUCAGAGAUGCACCAAGAUAACAUCUUAUAGACUGGGAGUUCUCAGAUAUGGCCUGAAUAAAAUCUCUAAUCAUACCCAAGAAAGAGAAAAGACAGACUUCCUCCAGAGAGACCUAUUAAUGAGGUAUCCAUCUCAGCCCAAGUCCUCUGCUCUUUCUGGUCUCGCCUCUAACUCAGCUUAAAGGAAUUUGGACAUCUGAUGACAUUUGGUGGCUUUGAUGCUGCAGACUUGGACGACUGUUUCCUGGCAGUUCACUGGUGGAUGAGGGUUCAGCACCCUCAGGACCCAAGCUUUUUCCCAAUUGCUCUCUAUCCCUUCUUAGCACAAAUCGUGUUCAGACAGUUGGGAGCAAACAUUAUUCUAUUAGAAUGUCUGGCAUCUAUAAUGCAUAAGGCAUGCAUGGGGACUUCCACAGUGAGACUUGAAGGCCAAAGGACGUGGAGGGCAGCACCUAUGAGCUCCUGAAGCAGCGUUGGCACAAAAUUGGCUGUGGCUGUAGUCUGACUUAACAAGAAGAAUCUGUUAUUAAACUGAGUUUUUUGAAAUUUGGGGAUCUGGAGUCAAGCAAAAUAGGGUUAUAAUUCUGCCUCUGCUGUUUCUGGGGGUGUGACUGAGACACAUGGCUUCCUCUCCCAAAGCCUGAACACUCUAGCUACAAAAAAGGGAUAAAAGUCUCUUCCUCAGGGGAUUGCAUGAGAAUUACAUCGGACAACGUGUAGAGAGUAUUUGGUGUGGUG